GCUAGGCGCAGCUACCAUGCAGUCGAGCGGAACGAUGGAAGCUUGCUUCCAGGCGUCGAGCGGCGGACGGGUGAGUAAUGCAUAGGAAUCUGCCCGAUAGUGGGGGAUAACCUGGGGAAACCCAGGCUAAUACCGCAUACGUCCUACGGGAGAAAGCAGGGGAUCUUCGGACCUUGCGCUAUCGGAUGAGCCUAUGUCGGAUUAGCUAGUUGGUGAGGUAACGGCUCACCAAGGCCGCGAUCCGUAGCUGGUCUGAGAGGAUGAUCAGCCACAUCGGGACUGAGACACGGCCCGAACUCCUACGGGAGGCAGCAGUGGGGAAUAUUGGACAAUGGGCGAAAGCCUGAUCCAGCCAUGCCGCGUGUGUGAAGAAGGCUUUCGGGUUGUAAAGCACUUUCAGUGGGGAAGAAAUCCUCGGGGCCAAUACCCUCGAGGGAGGACAUCACCCACAGAAGAAGCACCGGCUAACUCCGUGCCAGCAGCCGCGGUAAUACGGAGGGUGCGAGCGUUAAUCGGAAUUACUGGGCGUAAAGCGCGCGUAGGCGGCGUGAUAAGCCGGUUGUGAAAGCCCCGGGCUCAACCUGGGAACGGCAUCCGGAACUGUCAGGCUAGAGUGCAGGAGAGGAAGGUAGAAUUCCCGGUGUAGCGGUGAAAUGCGUAGAGAUCGGGAGGAAUACCAGUGGCGAAGGCGGCCUUCUGGACUGACACUGACGCUGAGGUGCGAAAGCGUGGGUAGCAAACAGGAUUAGAUACCCUGGUAGUCCACGCCGUAAACGAUGUCGACUAGCCGUUGGGGUCCUUGUGACCUUUGUGGCGCAGUUAACGCGAUAAGUCGACCGCCUGGGGAGUACGGCCGCAAGGUUAAAACUCAAAUGAAUUGACGGGGGCCCGCACAAGCGGUGGAGCAUGUGGUUUAAUUCGAUGCAACGCGAAGAACCUUACCUACUCUUGACAUCGUGCGAACUUUCCAGAGAUGGAUUGGUGCCUUCGGGAACGCACAGACAGGUGCUGCAUGGCCGUCGUCAGCUCGUGUUGUGAAAUGUUGGGUUAAGUCCCGUAACGAGCGCAACCCUUGUCCCUAUUUGCCAGCGAUUCGGUCGGGAACUCUAGGGAGACUGCCGGUGACAAACCGGAGGAAGGUGGGGACGACGUCAGGUCAUCAUGGCCCUUACGAGUAGGGCUACACACGUGCUACAAUGGCCGGUACAAAGGGUUGCGAAGCCGCGAGGUGGAGCUAAUCCCGAAAAGCCGGUCUCAGUCCGGAUCGGAGUCUGCAACUCGACUCCGUGAAGUCGGAAUCGCUAGUAAUCGUGAAUCAGAAUGUCACGGUGAAUACGUUCCCGGGCCUUGUACACACCGCCCGUCACACCAUGGGAGUGGACUGCACCAGAAGUGGUUAGCCUAACUUCGGAGGGCGAUCACCACGGUGUUGUC
rnacentral:rRNA from 1 species